ensembl:lncRNA
GUUUGUUUAGUUCAAGUCAUAAAGGAAAGCCUUCAACGUGGGCUCAAUGAAUAAAUCAGAAAUUUGGGAAUCAGUGAGUAGACUGGAACUGUGAAAAACAGGGAGAAAAAGCUGUUUUGAUUUCUCUUAAAUGUUCAGGUCUGAUCUGAACUAUCUAACCCAUAUUAUUCAGUGGAUAAUUCCAUGUUGAAGUACUUUGGAACAUUCUCAAAAUCUGCCAGCUACUGACAACUCUCCAGGGAUCAUACUCCAACUGAACAACGUGACUCUACUCUAUGCCCAUCCUUUGUGAGAAUAUGAACAAUGAAUCCAACUGCAUUUGCAGCAGGGAAGACAAAAGAUGAAUUUUGGGUUAUCAAAUUCAGUGUAAAAUACUUUGACAACAUGAGAGUCUGGCAAAAAUUUGCAACCCAGAAAAUGGAGUGAUUUGUGACAUAAAUUACCAUGAUAUUCCUCAAAAUACUUUCUCAUUUCUUAUAAGGAAAAUAACUCUACAGUUAGAAGCUUCAUUUUAUUUUCUUUUAUUAUGGAUUGUUUUCUAUUUAAAUGAGAUCAGUGUAUCUCCCAAGCCUCCCGGAUCAGUGGAUAAAGGUAAAAAAUCAUCCAGCUCUUUUGCUUCUCCUGGUUCUUUUCCUGCUGGCUCAGUUUGCCAAGCUAGUUCACCAAGCAGCUGCACAAAUUCAUGCCAGAGCCAGAGUCAGUGUGAUCAAAACAAAAGAAGCUCAGAAAUGAGAGAUAAAUAUGCUUACGCUGCCUUAGACAAUGCUGUUUUCCUCUCUGGGAAUCAAUAGAACCAUUCAAGCCAAUCAAAUAUUGUGGCUGAUAUGCUCCUUUCCUGCUUGAAGUGAUGUGGUUGUGAUGUGCCAAAGUUAUGAAGCAUUUCAGAAAGAUAGUCUGGCUAAAGGUCCUCCCCACCAAGAAGCUUACUACAAAGGGGUGAUUGUAACAGCAAAAGAUCUUUGCAAAAUCCUGCAAAUACCAAGGAGAUAAAUCUGAAAUCCUCUAAUUUGCUUCAAACAAGACUAGAGAUCAAGUAAGAUGCCACAAAUAUCUUAUGUUCAGUUAUGAAUAUGACAGGGUAAUAUUAGGCCCUUGUGAUUAAUAACUGAACUCUCACUGGCAUUCAGGAAAAAGUUUUUAACUUAAAUCACUUAUUAUCCCAUAAUACCUGCGUACUUUAGUCUCUAUAUGGGUAUUUGUUGUGGUUGCAAUGAGGGACACUUGCGGAGACUUAAAUUUGUUUCAAUACUCAGGACUGUGAUAAAAAAUUACAGCUAGAUCAUAGUAAAAUGUAUCUAGUUCAUGUAAAUUUUAUACUUGAAGUUAAACUAUAAAAUCAUUUUUUUCCUUUUUUCUUUCUUCUUUUCUUUUUUCUUUCUUUCUUUUUUUUUUUUUUUUUUCUGGAGGGAUGAAAAUAUGAAACAAUUAUCUUUAGAUUUCAUCAAAGGAAAGUAAAAUAUAUUGAGAACAGGGUCAACAUUAUGGACUCCUACUGUCAAAAGCUUUUCCAAAAGUGAUAUGACAUUAUGACUCCAGCCUUUUGUUGCUAUAAGUAAAAGGUGGGGGCAUUUUACUGAUGUUUUAGAACUGUUCAUCAUGGAAUGCAGUCCUACUAUUUUAUUAUUAUUUCUUUUAUAUUACAUGGAGAAAUCUUUAAAAAAGUGAAGUUAAAUAGUAGUCUGAUAUUCAUCAACAUGCUUGUCAGUAGACAGAGAAAUAAUUUUUAUUAUUUGUGAAUGGGAUUUCAAAGGCAGAGGAAGCCAGCUUUCCUUUAAUCAUAGUGUUCUUGAA